rnacentral:rRNA from 1 species
AAUAACGUUUCCCCGGGGCCCUUGUACACACCGCCCCGUCAAGCCAUGGAAGUUGGGGGUACCGUGAAGUCGAUCACCGCAAGGAGUCGCCUAGGGUAAAACCAAUGACUGGGGCU